rnacentral:rRNA from 1 species
CAAUAGCGUAUAUUAAAGCUGUUGCGGUUAAAAAGCUCGUAGUUGGAUUUCUGUCAAGGACAACUGGUCCGCCCUCCGGGUGAGCACAUAGUUUGGUCUUGGCAUCUUGCUGGAAACUGUUGCUGCACUUGACUGUGUGGCGCAGCGUCCAGCACUUUCACUUUGAGGAAAUUGGAGUGUUUCAAGCAGGCACAUGCCUUUGGACACAGUAGCAUGGAAUAAUUAGAUUGGGCUUUUGCUCCAAUUUGUCGGUUUCUGGAGCUGAGGUGAGAAUUAAUGGGGAUUGUUGGGGGCAUCCGAAUUUAGCCGUCAGAGGUGAAAUUCUUGGAUCUGCUAAAGACGGACAACUGCGAAAGCGUCUGCCCAGGAUGUUUUCAUUG